UGAUGUGAUGAUUCUGCCAAAUG
rnacentral:piRNA from 1 species